CGCAGAUGAUGUGAAUGCAAUAUUUGCUAUCUUAACACCCUUGCUGACAUUUUUCCACCAAGAUCACUGAUGCU